CGGACGGGUGAGUAACGCGUGGGUAACCUGCCUUAUACAGGGGGAGUAACAGUUAGAAAUGACUGCUAAUACCGCAUAAGCGCACAGGAUUGCAUGAUCUGGUGUGAAAAACUCCGGUGGUAUAAGAUGGACCCGCGUCUGAUUAGCUGGUUGGUGAGGUAACGGCCCACCAAGGCGACGAUCAGUAGCCGACCUGAGAGGGUGACCGGCCACAUUGGGACUGAGACACGGCCCAAACUCCUACGGGAGGCAGCAUG
rnacentral:rRNA from 1 species